AACGAACGCUGGCGGCAGGCUUAACACAUGCAAGUCGAGCGCCCCGCAAGGGGAGCGGCAGACGGGUGAGUAACGCGUGGGAACCUACCCUUUUCUACGGAAUAACGCAUGGAAACGUGUGCUAAUACCGUAUACGCCCUACGGGGGAAAGAUUUAUCGGAGAAGGCAGGGCCCGCGUUGGAUUAGCUAGUUGGUGGGGUAAAGGCCUACCAAGGCGACGAUCCAUAGCUGGUCUGAGAGGAUGAUCAGCCACAUUGGGACUGAGACACGGCCCAAACUCCUACGGGAGGCAGCAGUGGGGAAUAUUGGACAAUGGGCGCAAGCUUGAUCCAGCCAUGCCGCGUGAGUGAUGAAGGCCCUAGGGUUGUAAAGCUCUUUCACCGGAGAAGAUAAUGACGGUAUCCGGAGAAGAAGCCCCGGCUAACUUCGUGCCAGCAGCCGCCGUAAUAC
rnacentral:rRNA from 1 species